rnacentral:rRNA from 1 species
UACGUAGGGGGCUAGCGUUGUCCGGAAUCAUUGGGCGUAAAGCGCGUGUAGGCGGUCCGGUAAGUCCGCUGUGAAAGUCGGGGGCUCAACCCUCGAAUGCCGGUGGAUACUGUCGGGCUUGAGUGCGGGAGAGGCGAGUGGAAUUCCUGGUGUAGCGGUGAAAUGCGCAGAUAUCAGGAGGAACACCGAUUGCGAAGGCAGCUCGCUGGAACGUUACUGACGCUGAGGCGCGAAAGCCAGGGGAGCAAACGGG